rnacentral:rRNA from 1 species
CCUACGGGAGGCAGCAGUGAGGAAUAUUGGACAAUGGGCGAGAGCCUGAUCCAGCCAUGCCGCGUGCAGGAAGACAGCCUUAUGGGUUGUAAACUGCUUUUAUACAGGAAUAAUCCCCCRUUGCUGAAAGGGGCUGAAGGUACUGAUUGAAUAAGGACCGGCUAACUCCGGUG